rnacentral:rRNA from 1 species
GAUGAACGCUAGCUACAGGCUUAACACAUGCAAGUCGAGGGGAAACGACAUCGAAAGCUUGCUUUUGAUGGGCGCCGACCGGCGCACGGGAGAGGAACGCGUAUCCAACCUGCCCAUCACAUGUGAAUAACCUUGCGGAAGUAAGACUAAUACACAAUGACAUCCCACGAAGACAUCUGAAUGGGACGAAAGAUGUAUCGGUGAUGGAUGGGGAUGCGUCUGAUUGGCUGGUUGGCGGGGAACCGGCCCACCAAGGCAACGCUGAGUAGGGGUUCUGAGGGGAGGGGCCCCCACAUGGGGACUGACACACGGGCCACACUCCUACGGGCGGCAGCAGUGCGGAAUAUUGGUGAAUGGACGAGUGCCUGAACCGGCCAAGUAGGGUGCAGGAUGGCCGCCCUAGGGGUGGUAACCUGCUUUUAUUAGGGCAUAAAGUGGGGUUCGUGAGACUUUUUGCCGGUACCUUAUGAAUAAGGACCGGCUAAUUCCGUG